CCGAGUUAUACAACUCCAUAACCCCUGUGAACUUACCUAUACUGUUGCUUCGGCGGGAGAUGCCGGCCCCGUAAAACGGGACGCCCCCGCCGAGGACCCCCAAACCAUGUUUCUAUAAUGUUUUUCUGAGUAAACCAAAAUAAAUUA
rnacentral:misc_RNA from 1 species